AAGUGCUUGGUCGAGAUUGUAAGAUACAUUUAAACAAUGACCUCAAAUCAGGCAAGAAUACCCGCUGAACUUAAGCAUAUCAAUAAGCGGAGGAAAAGAAACUAACAAGGAUUCCCCUAGUAACGGCGAGUGAAGAGGGAAGAGCUCAAAUUUUAAAUCUGCCUUGUUUCAAGGUCGAGUUGUAAUUUGAAGAAGCGUUUUCUUGGGCACGCGACCGGUAGAAGUUCUUUGGAACAGGACAUCAUAGAGGGUGACAAUCCCGUCUGCGACCGGUCGUGCGUUCAUCUACGAUACGCUUUCAAAGAGUCGAGUUGUUUGGGAUUGCAGCUCCAAAUGGGUGGUAAACAUCACCUAAGGCUAAAUAUUGGCGAGAGACCGAUAGCGAACAAGUACCGUGAGGGAAAGAUGAAAAGAACUUUGAAAAGAGAGUUAAACAGUACGUGAAAUUGUUGAAAGGGAAACGAUUGAAGUCAGUCGUGCUGGCGCGAAAUCAACCCUCUCGUCGAGAGGUCACAUGGCGUGGCGAGCCUCAAAACCGUCACGAAGCGUGAACUCUUGGCGAAAAGGAGCACUUUCGUGUCCGCUGGUUAACAUCAAUUUCGAACGUCAUAAAAAGGCUGGAGGGAUGUGGCUCCUUCGGGAGUGUUAUAACCUUUAGCGGAAUGUGGUGGUCGGGAUUGAGGAUUGCAACGAAUACCUUUAGGGCUGUUCCACCUGGCUUCUCUUUGGUAUCCUGGUGACGACAGCUUGCUGACGUUGUUAGGAUUCGCCUUUGAACAGGCUAGAGUGUGAGCAAAUUCGUUAAGGAUGUUAACGUAAUGGCUUUAAACGACC
rnacentral:rRNA from 1 species